rnacentral:rRNA from 1 species
UACGUAGGGUGCGAGCGUUAAUCGGAAUUACUGGGCGUAAAGCGUGCGCAGGCGGCUCGUUAAGUUCGAUGUGAAAGCCCCGGGCUCAACCUGGGAACUGCAUUGGAAACUGGCGAGCUUGAAUGCGGCAGAGGGGGGUGGAAUUCCGCGUGUAGCAGUGAAAUGCGUAGAGAUGCGGAGGAACACCGAUGGCGAAGGCAGCCCCCUGGGCCGACAUUGACGCUCAGGCACGAAAGCGUGGGGAGCAAACAGG